UGUCGAUGUGACCACCUAAUUACUUGCAGCAGGUUGUGAAAACGGAACUGUGAAAAAGAGAGUGCAUAUAGAAAAGAUGUGUAGUGGUCAGGAAAGUGUGCCUUGGGCGAUCAAAUUAUAUGUAACAUCAUUAGAUGUGACGAAUCCUUGGAUGCAUUCUGCAAUUGCUGCAUGUCUGGCUUCUCCCCGGGCCUCGCUGGGAAGGACUCAGACACAUUUGGACUAAGGACAGUGUGCUGUUUCUUUUG
rnacentral:lncRNA from 1 species